UCCAUACUCUACAUGUGCACGAAAACCGAUUUUAAAAAUAUUGCUUCCUUAUUUAAUAAAAAAUCAAAAACCAAAAAAAAAUGAGGAAAUGCUUCCAGUUUUGCCUUAAGACUAGAUUCGGAACUCCGUCCGGACCUCGGAAGUCACGAUAACUAAAUGGUGUCUGCCGCAAAAUUGUAGAUAAUAUCAUGCAGAAAAAUGUUGUCGAACACACUUUUGCUCCUUUGGAAAUAAGCGAUAUAUAAUAAAUUUAGUAUAAACAACUCCCUCAAACCUUGAAAACCACUAAGUCCUUUAUAUCUUUCUUGGAUAAGGUUUUCAUGACUUCUGAUGUUCUGAACACUUUUUCAGUAUAUUAUUAUGCAUGUUUUUCUGUAGACGGUGAUGCCAUAUUAUUAUUGUUUCUACGUGAUUUUUUAGUUUUUCUUUAAAAAAUGACCUUUGCUUUCUCACCGAAGUGUACAGAAAGGCUAUAUAUUUACUCAAAAAACGAAUUUUCGAUAGAAGGCUUGUCCCUCCAGUCACAUAUAUGAAUCAACUUAGUUCGACGAAUUGAGAUGAUGUCAAAAGUGAGCCAAGCCCCAUCAUGCGACACAUCAAACUGCGGUUAUUUUUGUAACCUAUAGCAUGAUUCAGGAAUUAUAUGUGGAAAUGAACACUGGAGACCAGAAAUUUCACGAUGUCAGCCCAAAAUCCAAGAUGGCAGCCUAUUAUUCAAGAUGGCGGCUGUUCAAUAGAGUUUUAGGCUCUAAAACAGUCUUCCCAAACGAACACCGAACUCGCUAAGUACUGCUGUAUUUAAACUCCGCCUUUACUCUGACUUGGUGUUCAAACCGCAACACACAAAUCUGUACCCAAACGUGUACUUAUGUUCAGAGUUCGUUCCAAACGCAAGUACGAACAUAUGUACAGUACACGUGUAUCGCACGAAACGAAGUGGGAAGCGAUCGUGCAAUAAAGAACUUUCUCGAACGACGAUUGACAGUUCGGCACUACUCGUUUACCAAUCGGAAAGCCGCUUCGGGUUUCAUUCUCGAUUUUCGCUCGGUUCGACUUUUGUU